UACGUAGAGGGCAAGCGUUGUCCGGAUUUAUUGGGCGUAAAGAGCGUGUAGGCGGCCAGGUAGGUCAGCUGUGAAAACUCGAGGCUCAACCUCGAGACGCCGGUUGAAACCAUCUGGCUAGAGUCCGGAAGAGGAGAGUGGAAUUCCUGGUGUAGCGGUGAAAUGCGCAGAUAUCAGGAAGAACACCCGUGGCUAAGGCGGCUCUCUAGUACGGUACUGACGCUGAGACGCGAAAGCGUGGGGAGCGAACAGG
rnacentral:rRNA from 1 species